rnacentral:rRNA from 1 species
UCGGGAAUUUUGGGCAAUGGGCGAAAGCCUGACCCAGCAACGCCGCGUGAGGGAUGAAGUAUUUCGGUAUGUAAACCUCGAAAGAAUGGGAAGAAUAAAUUACGGUACCAUGUAUAAGCUCCGGCUAACUACGUGCCAGCAGCCGCGGUAAUACGUAGGGAGCAUGCGUUGUUCGGAUUUACUGGGCGUAAAGGGCGCGUAGGCGGCGCGGUAAGUCACUUGUGAAAUCUCUGAGCUUAACUCAGAACGGCCAAGUGAUACUGCUGUGCUAGAGUGCGGAAGAGGCAACCGGAAUUCUUGGUGUAGCGGUGAAAUGCGUAGAUAUCAAGAGGAACACCUGAGGCGAAGGCGGGUUGCUGGGCCGACACUGACGCUGAUGCGCGAAAGCCAGGGGAGCAAACG